rnacentral:lncRNA from 1 species
GUUAGGACCCAGAGGGAACCAUGGAAGCCCCAGCUCAGCUUCUCUUCCUCCUGCUACUCUGGCUCCCAGAUACCACCGGAGAAAUUGUGUUGACACAGUCUCCAGCCACCCUGUCUUUGUCUCCAGGGGAAAGAGCCACCCUCUCCUGCAGGGCCAGUCAGAGUGUUAGCAGCUACUUAGCCUGGUACCAACAGAAACCUGGCCAGGCUCCCAGGCUCCUCAUCUAUGAUGCAUCCAACAGGGCCACUGGCAUCCCAGCCAGGUUCAGUGGCAGUGGGUCUGGGACAGACUUCACUCUCACCAUCAGCAGCCUAGAGCCUGAAGAUUUUGCAGUUUAUUACUGUCAGCAGCGUAGCAACUGGCCUCCCACAGUGAUUCCACAUGAAACAAAAACCCCAACAAGACCAUCAGAACUGUGGCUGCACCAUCUGUCUUCAUCUUCCCGCCAUCUGAUGAGCAGUUGAAAUCUGGAACUGCCUCUGUUGUGUGCCUGCUGAAUAACUUCUAUCCCAGAGAGGCCAAAGUACAGUGGAAGGUGGAUAACGCCCUCCAAUCGGGUAACUCCCAGGAGAGUGUCACAGAGCAGGACAGCAAGGACAGCACCUACAGCCUCAGCAGCACCCUGACGCUGAGCAAAGCAGACUACGAGAAACACAAAGUCUACGCCUGCGAAGUCACCCAUCAGGGCCUGAGCUCGCCCGUCACAAAGAGCUUCAACAGGGGAGAGUGUUAGAGGGAGAAGUGCCCCCACCUGCUCCUCAGUUCCAGCCUGACCCCCUCCCAUCCUUUGGCCUCUGACCCUUUUUCCACAGGGGACCUACCCCUAUUGCGGUCCUCCAGCUCAUCUUUCACCUCACCCCCCUCCUCCUCCUUGGCUUUAAUUAUGCUAAUGUUGGAGGAGAAUGAAUAAAUAAAGUGAAUCUUUGC